rnacentral:misc_RNA from 1 species
UUUCCGUAGGUGAACCUGCGGAAGGAUCAUUACAGAGUUCAUGCCCUCACGGGUAGAUCCCCCACCCUUGAGUAUUUAUACCUUAGUUGCUUUGGCAGGCCGUGGAAACACCAUGGGCUCCGGCUUAGGCGUGCCUGCCAGAGGAAACAAACUCUGUUUUUAGUGAUGGCCGAGUACUAUAUAAUAGUUAAAACUUUCAACAACGGAUCUCUUGGUACUG